CCCUUAGAUGUUCUGGGCCGCACGCGCGCUACACUGACGAUGGCAACGAGUUUUUCCUUCGCCGAAAGGUGUGGGUAAUCUUUUGACACAUCGUCGUGCUGGGGAUAGAUCAUUGCAAUUUUUGAUCUUGAACGAGGAAUUCCUAGUAAGCGCGAGUCAUCAGCUCGCGUUGAUUACGUCCCUGCCCUUUGUACACACCGCCCGUCGCUACUACCGAUUGAAUGGUUUAGUGAGGACUCCUGAUUGGCGCCGCCGCCCCGGCAACGGAGCAGCGGACUGCCGAAAAGUUGUUCAAACUUGAUCAUUUAGAGGAAGUAAAAGUCGUAACA
rnacentral:rRNA from 1 species